GUGAACAGCACUAGCAGCUAUUUCCAUCCCAGCUUGAGCCUGCUUUAAGCAAACUACACACUGGAGCUAAUUACCCAGACCUUCUGUUUCAGUAAUCACCAUCACAGAGGGAAGGGAAACAACCACCCACCACCUGAGAGGCCAGGGCACCUCUUUGCUGAAAUUCCAGCAUUUUCCCCUCCUGGUUCAUAAAGGAUCAACAACAGCCUGGCAUAGUCAUUGCUAACAACUCACUGGAUGGUAAGGGGGAAACAAACACAAAGCCAGAGCUUCAGAUCAGACUCAGCUCUGACUCAAAAAGACAUUGUGACAAGGAUUAGAUGUUCCUGGUUUCUUUCUCCUGCAAACAGUUCAGUUUGUGUCUGCAAGACUCUGUUGUGCUACCUGGUGGAAGGUGAGAAGUUUUGGCCCUGAGAACUAUUUACUAGCUAGGACCAUGGGGGUUUAUUUUAGGGCAAUGGGCUGAUGGCUAUACCACCACAAUUGAACAACAAAACCAGAGUUAUGGGCUGAGGAGGCUUGGCUGAAAAAGAUUUGCUAUAAAAUGAGGGACUCUGUACAUGCCAGCCUGCGGAAACAGGCAUGAUGUCUCUGAAACACUUUCAAACUUUGUCCAUCUUGGGAGCAAAUGACCAGGAUGGAGGCUCAAACCCAGGUCUCUCACAUGGGAGUGAAGAAUACUAGCACUAGAUCCCUGGGGAUGGUUAACCUCAUAAUAUAACAUGCUGCUCACUAUUCACUUUGAUUACUGGGUUUGGUUUACUUUGCUUCACAUAGUAAGAAAGAAUGUAAUUUCAAAAGAUAAUAGGUUUCAUUCAGCCUUAAGAUAUGCUGGCUCCUGCCCAGUGGAGGGCCCAUGGGAGUGAAGAAUAUGCCAAGAAGACGACUGCAGUGGAGAAAGACACCUACAAGCUUUGCUCCAGAGCUAGUCAGUGCCAACAUAACAGUGUGUGGCACAGGUUGGAAGAUGGCCUGGCCAAGGCUGAUUCAGCACUUCCCCUCUACAGGUGAUGCUCCUUAGGAACCAGAGUUAGAAUUUAAAAUCGUUCGCACCUGGUAGCACCUAAUGGCAAAGACAGCCUGGAGACAAAUGCCACGUGCCCUCCCUGGAUGUGAACCCUCCCUUGGGUAAAGUAGCCCUUGCUGGCACAGAAGGGUGUAAUUUUCAACCCUACACCAACAGAGGUGAAUUCAUUUUUUGACAUCUGUAAAACAUAUGUAGCAUGGUUUGGAACUGGGAUUUUUUCUUUGUAUUUUCCUUACAGUAUGCAGUAUAUUUCCCCACUUAGUUAAAUAAAAUCUGUAAGAGAUAUAGAGAACAGAUAUGCCUUGAAUGAUUAAUAACAUUUAUUUCCUCCUGGCCCUCAAAAAUUAGAAAAGCUAUCCACCUCAGUUUAUUCCAAAAUAGUUUCCACCUAGGAAGUUAAGACAAUAAGAAAAUGGUUCAUAUCAUGUGAGACACUUUGUCUAAGGACACACAGAUAAGCUACAGUUGGGAGUUCCACUCCCCAAGAAUAGAAACUAAAAUGGCACUGUUAAUCGCCUAAGCAAGACUCUCUCAUAAUUUGCAUAUGGACAACAUUUCUUCCUUCCUCCCAAACUAGCUAAAAAGAACUCCAAAAAGUUGCCAGGCAAGGUUAAGAUCCUAAUUUCCUAUGAAAAGUGACCCACUUCACUUUGCAAGUGGGUCAAGAGAUGAGUGGGUCAAGAUAUAAUUUAAGCGAACUAGAAAUAACCUGCUGUGAGAUUGAAGGUCAAUAAAGCAAACUGCCUGUUACCCCCAAAAAUCCAAACCAUAUUUUCACCCCCAACUAUAAACUAUACAUAUGUUUGCCUUGUAAAUCAAAUAUGAUAGAUAAUCUGUUUUGUCCUGUCAGUUUGUCUUUCACCCCAAACUUGAAGCUGCAUGUUUUCUUGUUUUGUGAGUCAGAGCUACAUCUCCUUAUAUGUGCAUAACAUCUCUAAUUCGAUUUCAAAUUCUAUAUAACAUGCAAUGCUUAUGUACAAUCAAAGAAUGUAUGAAAUAGGUCCAUCAAGUUUGGAAGAUUAUAAGGCAUUAUUCUUGCUUCCAUUGGAAAUAACUGUGGCCCUUUAGAAGUAAUAGGAAUUGUAAGGCACAACGAAGAAGGAAUGCUGAAAGAUUUAAACCAACUUUGGAUCAUUAAAAGAAAUUGCUUAAAAUGGAGAAAUUUCCAAUUAAUAAUAUGGGCUAGUAUUGAAAUACAAGCUUUGAAAUGGAUCAAACAUAAAAAGCCUCCAAUAAGAAAAGGACUGGAGACAUUUUUUAUACCUCAUCACCAUCUAUUAGAUACCAAUGGCAGCAGCAGAGAAACUGAGAGCUGAAAUCUGAGCACUCAGUUGGUAUGUGUCCAAUAGAAAUAAGAGGGAGCUUCCCUCCAAUGAGUCCUAAAGUCAGGGCAUAUAAAACUGAGGUCACCAGUUAUGUGAGACCCUGAGUUGACUGAACCCACCAUGCUGCAGAAU